rnacentral:rRNA from 1 species
UCCUGGCUCAGAAUCAACGCUGGCGCGUGCCUCAGACAUGCAAGUCGAACGAUUAAGACUUCCUUCGGGAAGUGCAUAAAGUGGCGCACGGGUGAGUAACACGUAAGUAAUCUACCCUCGAGUGGGGAAUAACGUUCGGAAACGGACGCUAAUACCGCAUAACGCAGCGGCACCGCAAGGUGACAGUUGUUAAAGGAGCAAUCCGCUUGAGGAGGAGCUUGCGGCAGAUUAGCUAGUUGGUAGGGUAAUGGCUUACCAAGGCUACGAUCUGUAUCCGGUCUAAGAGGACGGUCGGACACACUGACACUGAAUAACGGGUCAGACUCCUACGGGAGGCAGCAGUCGGGAAUUUGGCAAUGGGCGAAAGCCUGACCCAGCAACGCCGCGUGAAGGAUGAAGUAUUUCGGUAUGUAAACUUCGAAAGAAUAGGAAGAAUAAAUGACGGUACUAUUUAUAAGCUCCGGCUAACUACGUG